rnacentral:guide_RNA from 1 species
AUAAGGUACAUGAUAUACACAGCGGGUUGUUAAAAUGUUG